rnacentral:rRNA from 1 species
ACCGGGCAAAAGUCGUAACAAGGUUUCCGUAGGUGAACCUGCGGAAGGAUCAUUAU